rnacentral:snRNA from 1 species
ACACUUACCUGACAGGGAGAUCUCAUGUUCAUAAAGGAGGUUUUCCCAGGGAGAGGCUUAUCCAUCGCACUCUGAAUGUGCUGAGUCCUGCAACUUCCCCAAAUGUGGGAAACUUUCCUCUGUGAGAAGA